AUUGAACGCCGGCGGCGUGCCUAACACAUGCAAGUCGAGCGGUAACAGGUGUAGCAAUACAUGCUGACGAGCGGCGGACGGGUGAGUAACGCUUGGGAAUCUGCCUAUUAGUGGGGGACAACCCGGGGAAACUCGGGCUAAUACCGCAUACGCUCUACGGAGGAAAGCCGGGGACCGCAAGGCCUGGCGCUAAUAGAUGAGCCCAAGUCGGAUUAGCUAGUUGGUAGGGUAAUGGCCACCAAGGCGACGAUCCGUAACUGGUCUGAGAGGACGACCAGUCACACCGGAACUGAGACACGGUCCGGACUCCUACGGGAGGCAGCAGUGGGGAAUAUUGGACAAUGGGCGAAAGCCUGAUCUAGCGACGCCGCGUGGGUGAAGAAGGCCUGCGGGUUGUAAAGCCCUUUCAGUGGGGAAGAAAAGCCUCGACCUAACACGUCGGGGUCUUGACGUAACCCAUAGAAGAAGCACCGGCUAACUCUGUGCCAGCCGCCGCGGUAAC
rnacentral:rRNA from 1 species